CCUACGGGUGGCAGCAGUGGGGGAUAUUGCACAAUGGGGGAAACCCUGAUGCAGCGACGCCGCGUGUGGGAAGACGGUCUUCUGGAUUGUCAACCACUGUCCCCAGGGACGAAAAUGACGGUACCUGGGGAGGAAGCUCCGGCUAACUACGUGCCAGCAGCCGCGGUAAUACGUAGGGAGCAAGCGUUGUACGGAAUUACUGGGUGUAAAGGGAGCGUAGGCGGGGAUGCAAGUUGGGUGUCAAAACUACCGGCUCAACCGAUAGUCGCACUCAAAACUGCAGCUCUUGAGUGAAGUAGAGGCAGGCGGAAGUCCUAGUGUAGCGGUGAAAUGCGUAGAUAUUAGGAGGAACACCAGUGGCGAAGGCGGCCUGCUGGGCUUUUACUGACGCUGAGGCUCGAAAGUGUGGGGAGCAAACAGGAUUAGAUACCCCUGUAGUC
rnacentral:rRNA from 1 species